GACGAACGCUGGCGGCGUGCCUAAUACAUGCAAUUAGAACGCUGAAGGAGGAGCUUGCUUCUCUGGAUGAGUUGCGAACGGGUGAGUAACGCGUAGGUAACCUGCCUGGUAGCGGGGGAUAACUAUUGGAAACGAUAGCUAAUACCGCAUAAUAGUAGAUGUCGCAUGACAUUUGCUUAAAAGGUGCAAUUGCAUCACUACCAGAUGGACCUGCGUUGUAUUAGCUAGUUGGUGAGGUAACGGCUCACCAAGGCAACGAUACAUAGCCGACCUGAGAGGGUGAUCGGCCACACUGGGACUGAGACACGGCCCAGACUCCUACGGGAGGCAGCAGUAGGGAAUCUUCGGCAAUGGACGGAAGUCUGACCGAGCAACGCCGCGUGAGUGAAGAAGGUUUUCGGAUCGUAAAGCUCUGUUGUAAGAGAAGAACGAGUGUGAGAGUGGAAAGUUCACACUGUGACGGUAUCUUACCAGAAAGGGACGGCUAACUACGU
rnacentral:rRNA from 1 species